UACGGGAGGCAGCAGUGGGGAAUAUUGCACAAUGGGCGCAAGCCUGAUGCAGCCAUGCCGCGUGUAUGAAGAAGGCCUUCGGGUUGUAAAGUACUUUUCAGCGGGGAGGAAGGCGGUGGAGUUAAUAGCUUCACCGAUUGACGUUACCCGCAGAAGAAGCACCGGCUAACUCCGUGCCAGCAGCCGCGGUAAUACGGAGGGUGCAAGCGUUAAUCGGAAUUACUGGGCGUAAAGCGCACGCAGGCGGUCUGUCAAGUCGGAUGUGAAAUCCCCGGGCUUAACCUGGGAACUGCAUUCGAAACUGGCAGGCUAGAGUCUUGUAGAGGGGGUAGAAUUCCAGGUGUAGCGGUGAAAUGCGUAGAGAUCUGGAGGAAUACCGGUGGCGAAGGCGGCCCCUGGGACAAAGACUGACGCUCAGGUGCGAAAGCGUGGGGAGCAAACAGGAUUAGGAUACC
rnacentral:rRNA from 1 species